rnacentral:rRNA from 1 species
UACGGAGGAUCCGAGCGUUAUCCGGAUUUAUUGGGUUUAAAGGGUGCGUAGGCGGAAAGUGUAAGUCAGUGGUGAAAUUCCUGCAGCUUAACUAGUAGAAUAGCCGUUGAAACUGUGUUUCUUGAGUACAUUUGAGGUAGGCGGAAUGUGGUGUGUAGCGGUGAAAUGCAUAGAUAUACCACAGAACACCGAUUGCGAAGGCAGCUUACUAAACUGUCACUGACGCUGAUGCACGAAAGCGUGGGUAUCAAACAGGAUUACGAUA